ensembl:lncRNA
CAAAGAAGCAAAAAAAAAGUCUUUUAAGGUGCUAUGUCAUUAUUUCUAGAUAUGUUGGUCUACCAGCUUUACUGGCUCAGACAGUGUUUUGGCAUCUUGUAUCUCAUCAUAGGCUUGAUUUUUCAACAUGGAAUUGGCCCUGUUCACAUUUUUAGCUUUAGCUGGAAGCAGCCUUUGCUUGUUAGGAAGUUGGGGUCAGAGCGCAGGGUCAGCCAUGAUACAGCGCCCCUGGAGCAGAGAUGGUUAAGAGUCUUGCUUAAGGACCCAACGAUGGCAGCUUGGCAGUGAACCCCCGACCUUCCAAUCAGUAACUCAGAGCCUUAACCGUUGAGGCACCACUACCCUAAAUUCAUCAGACAGAAUCGGCACUACUGUCGGAGCUGCUGUUAUGGAAAUUUACUCAAGCCCGUCUGACCAGUUGGUUUUAAGAUUUCAAGA